GCGAGCUUGGCGGAAUGGUAGACGCACGAGACUUAAAAUCUUGCGCCUGUAACUGGGCGUGCGGGUUCGAGUCCCGCAGUUCGCA
rnacentral:tRNA from 4 species